rnacentral:rRNA from 1 species
UACGUAGGGGGCUAGCGUUGUCCGGAUUUAUUGGGCGUAAAGAGCGUGUAGGCGGCCAUGUAGGUCCGGUGUGAAAACUCGAGGCUUAACCUCGAGAUGUCAUCGGAAACCAUUUGGCUAGAGUCCGGAAGAGGUGAGUGGAAUUCCUGGUGUAGCGGUGAAAUGCGCAGAUAUCAGGAAGAACACCAAUGGCGAAAGCAGCUCUCUGGGACGGUACUGACGCUGAGACGCGAAAGCGUGGGGAGCGAACAGG